rnacentral:rRNA from 1 species
GCAACCCUAGGUCAGGCAGGGCAACCCGCUGAGUUUAAGCAUAUCAAUAAGCGGAGG